rnacentral:lncRNA from 1 species
UUCCUUAAAUAGAAUUUUUGAGAAUUUUAUCUAAAAUAUACAACCUAUUGAUAAAAAAAUCUUAAAAAUACUCAUCUAUCAACAAAAAUUCUUGUUAUCCUAAUUUCUAAAUCACAACUUCAAAUCUACAAUAUUUCUAAUAAAAAUGAAAACUUUCCUAAAAUGGAAUUUUUGAGAAUUAUUUUCAAAAAAAUACAACUAUUGAUCAAAAAAUCUAAAAGAAUACACAUAUAUCAACAAAAAAUUUUGUUAUCAAAAUUUCUAAAUCUGAACCCAAAAACUACAAUAGUUCUCAAUAAAAAUAAAAACUUUCCUUAAAUAGAGUUUUAGACAAUUUAUCUAAAAUAUACAACCUAUUAAUAAAAAAAUCUUGAAGAAUACGCAUCUAUCAACAAAAAUUCCUAUUAUCCUAAUUUCUAAAUCAGAACCUCAAAACUACAAUAGUUCCCAAUUAAAAUAAAAACUUUUUUUAAAUAGAAGUUUUUGAGAAUUUUAUCUAAAAUAUACAACCUAUUGAUAAAACAAAAAUCUCAAAAAAUACUCAUCUAUCAACAAAAAUUAUUGUUAUCCUAAUUUCUACAUCACAACCCCAAAUCUACAAAGUUUCUGUAAAAAAUUAAAACUUUCCUAAAAUAGAAUUUUUGAGAAUUACUUUAAAAAAAUACAACUAUUGAUAAAAAAAAUCUAAAUGAAUAUUCAUCUAUAAACAAAAAAUUCUUGUUGUCCAAAUUUCUAAAUCAAAACCCCAAAUCCACACUAUUAUUCCCAAAAAUGAAAACUUUCCAAAAAUAGAAUUUUUGAGAAUUUUAUCUAAAGUAUACAACCUAUUGAUCAAAACUUUUAAAAGAAUACUCAUAUAUCAACAAAAAAAUUUUGUUAUCCUAAUUUCUAAAUCAGAACCUCAAAACUACAAUAGUUCUCAAUAAAAAUAAAAACUUUCCUUAAAUAGAAUUUUUGAGAAUUUUAUCUAAAAUAUAAAACCUAUUGAUAAAAAAAUCUUAAAAAAUACUCAUCUAUCAACAAAAAU